UAAGAUUAAUUUUCCAAUAAGUUAUAGAGUAUUCGGUGAAAAUUCAUUUGUCUUUUUUACAGCUAUGAAAUUGAAAAAUUUUUUAGUUUUACUAUUUAUUUGACCGAAAGUCAAUAGCGUAAAAAUUAAAAUUUCUCGUCAUUAGUAUUUUAUUUAUUUUUUUCUCACUCUUUUUUGUGUGGGUCGAAAUCAAUUACACUAUUUUCGAGGAUUUGAAUUUCAACGGAAGGCAAAAUUAUAAUGAAUCAAAUAAUUAAAAUGCACAUUUAAUGCUCAAAAAUCACUUUAUUCUUUUUCAUUUUCGGUAAACAAAUACACCCGUAAUGCAGAAACUUACGAUUGAUUUAUAUUUGUGUAUGGUAACAUUAGUAACCGCGGACAAUAUAAUGUUAAAGUUUUUGAUUAAUUU
rnacentral:lncRNA from 1 species